rnacentral:lncRNA from 1 species
CGUCUUACUGCCUGGAGGCUCAAACACCAUAGAAGUUGGCGGACUCGAGGCGCAGAGCGGCUACAUGCAAAUUACGGAUGCGCUGAGCCAAUCGGCGGCCGCGCGGAGGCAGCGAUGAGUUAAAGCGGUCAGUUUCUGGGCUGGUUCGGGCACGCAGAGGGGUGCAGACGUGAGAGAGCGCGAGGAGUCAAUGGGGGACACGGGCUGGGAACUGUGGUGCGCUUAGGGGAUUCUCGCCGUGCCUGUACGAGGCUUGUGGUCAACGUCCGCGAUUGCUGGCGUUGUAAUGCGUUCGUGGGGAAGUGGAGUGUUCGUGGGGGUUGAGGUGGUGUUGUAGUAUUAGGGUACAGGGAGGGGGGCUCGACGUGGAGCUGUUUUUUUUCGGGCUUUGGUCGUGUGGGAGAGUGUGGAGCAAAAUGAAGUGGAGCGGCUGAGGGAAGCAGGCCGGGGGCUGUGCGCGGGAGGUUCCUCGCUCUGAGCAGUUAGAACACAACGAAGGAACUUUUACACGUUAGGGUGCGUGUGUGGUACGGUGAGGAGGACCAAAGACCAUAGAAACUGGCGGACUCGCAGCGCAGAGCGGUGGGAGGAAGGCGAUGGGUUUUCCGCGUUUCAGCGCGCAUGCGUGUCACUGCCUGGAGGACCAAACACCAUAGAAAUUGGCGGGCUUGCGGCGCAGAGCGUUCAGAACAGGGAGGUGCGGUGCUUUAUUGGGGGCGGCAGAGCGGGGAAACGGUGCCCUUUCUCUGGGGAUACUCAGAACCUGCGUGGAUGCAGUCCUGUGCAGCGUGUUCCCACAGGUUAUAGCAGAUCCAUCAAGUGAUUACGCAGCCUUUGCCCAGACAGACCUUUUUUCCCCUGAAGUGACCACGUAUUACAAGUUAAUUACAGGCAGUAUUCUCAUGACUAAUUAUUUACCAUCAAAAGACAGGCUUUUUUGAGACCGAACCCCUACUGUCUCAAAGUUAAUAGGAGAAACCUCUUUAAUUAGUCGUUAUUAUCUACGUGGACCGUAUCUGCAUAUAAUUAGACAUCUCAGCACAUCAGUAUAGGCUGUGGGAACAGCCAGCUGUGUUAUUUUGUUAUUAAAAUCUGCUUCUGAGGGAUGUCUGCAGGGAGUUCCCAUAGGACAGGUCCCUUGUGGGUCUUUCUGCUGAGCCUGAGCUAGCAGGGACAGGGAGUUUAGCAAUUAAAUAUAUUUCCCUAUUGGGUCUUCUUGAUGUGAUCCCAUAUAGGAUAUCAGUGUGAUGGGUUAUAAUGCUAAACAUGACACGGUCCUUUUCCCUUCUCUUUUGGCACUGUUCAUAAAGCACAACAGCAUCACAGAGCACCACUGCUGAUUCAGUGUGGCCUUGAUGUGCACCGGCCUUUCCUGUGUGGUGUGAAGAAGAAGCCUGCAAUACCUCAGCUUCCAAGAGAUAAGGCCUCACAUCUUGCACACAGCAUCCAAAUAACCUUUUCAAAAGCAUUACUGGUGGGACACACAUGCAUUUCAGGGCCUAUGGAGAAGAAGCUUGUCAGUUUAUCCAGUCUUUUUCAAUAGGCUCCCAGCUCAGUCUGACAGCAAGCAGUAUUCCCAGUCUUACGGCAAUUAGAGAAGAGAAAUAUCCUUUGUGUUAGCGUUUUUCAUUCUGCUGGCCAGAAAGUUUGUUCCAAGUGUUGAAGACAAAAACAAAGCCUUCAUUGAGGCUAAUGGGGAGAGUGCCUCAUUCAUGACAGAAGGCAAAAAGGAAUUGGGAAGAUAAUAUGACAUUUUGCAGGCAUGCGAGUCUCAUUGAAUAGCAGUGUAAGAGCACUUUUCUGAGCACUAUCCAGCACUAUCCAUAGGAACUGCUCUGCAGUCCGUACACAAAUGUCUGUGCCAAUCUGAAGCAGCUAUUCUGUCAGUAAUUACAAAGUAAACACACAGCUGUGACACAUCCAGAUACCACUGGCUGCAUCCAAGUGUCCAUCGUACAGAAGCACUCUUGAGGCACUCUCAGGCACAGAAGUUUUUUAGUUCCUAAAGGUACUUUUCAUAGGAGGUGUGGAAGAAAUGUGAGAAAGAGGUGUCUUAGAUGAGAGGAGACGACUGGACUAUGUGGAUCAAGGGAGAAGAGUGAGUUGCUUGCUGCACAUUUUGCUUACGGAGCAUUAGUACAAGCUAUUCAAUUAAAGUAACUUUGGCUAAUUAGAUACUUCUGAAAGACCUCUGUCGCUAGAAGUGUCUUUUCCUUCAUUCACUUGUAGAAUGGGACAUCUAAGCAUCAUGCUUCUUCAUGCUCUGUUUUCAUGAUCAUACACUGUGCUGGUGUUCUUUAUUUGUUUUUAAAUGCAGAAGUGAUGCAGGCAUAAGCUGAUCCUGCACUGGGGUAAAUGUUGAGAUAUUAAGUAACUUAAUGUCUUACCUCUGUUUUCCUGUGGUCAUUUCCUUUUCACUUUGAGUCCCUUGACCCAAGUACAGUAGAAACAGUGAUUAAAAACAAGUGCACCUGCAGAGGCAGCUGCCAUAACUGCACUUGGAUUUGGCAGCAUGGACAGUGCUUCUAAAUGUGAGGGAAGAACAAGCAAUUGGCAUUCCAUGAUCAGUCUGAAACUUUCAGAGAGUCAUAGCAAUCUCCCCCGCUCCUAAAUAUGUACAUCUCGCAUCAGAAAACUCACUACAGUACAGUUACCAGAUGCUGAAUCAGCGUGAAGAAGAAACAGCCACACUGAAUGCAUAGAGGAAAAAUGGGUCACCUACCAUCAGUGAGCAUCAUGGCUCGCUGUCAGCUGAAAAUAUGGUUUGGGGCAUAGACAGUGAGUACAGCCAGAUGUCAUUUUUAAACACUGGCUCACUGUAUGCUGCCAACAAAUAAAAAGUCAUUUGAAUUUGAACUUCAAACUCAAUGGUUUUGGAAAUAAGCAAGGUGAGAACCUGCCUAUUUUGUAUGAGCUCCCUUUUGCUAAGCAUCCCUAGGGCUGCAGUUUUAGAGCCUGAAUGAGAGAAUCCAAAGCACCAGAGGGACAUAUUCUGUUGCAUCCUUAGUUUAUGGAAGUAGGGAGCUGCUCUUCUCUUUUUUUUUUUUGCACAUGGUAUCACUGCUCUGAUACGUAUAAUCAAUGCUAUGAGUUUUUGGAAUACAGUUUGUUUGUAACAGCAGCACAGCUGCUUUCUACUCCAUCUAGUUCCCUGUCAGUAGGCUGCUUCCUUUCAUGAUGGAAUGCACUUGUUGUUUUGAGCACCAGCAAACAGGAAAUUAGAGAAAGUGAACUGGACAAAUUGCAGACACUGUAAUUAUCUUUAUCUUUGAGCUCGUUGCAAACCAGCUGUCCCACCAGUCUGGUGAGAUGGCACAUCUUACAGCCAAGCUGAAAAUGAAGGAUGAAGGAGCACAAUUUGUCAGAGGAGGUGCAGAGAUCUUGGGGGACUCCAACAGUUAGCAGUUGUUUGACCAGCUAUUUUAAAAUUGACAUAGAUACCCAUUAUGAAGUUGAUGGUAACAGGAGGAGGAGCUCACUCAUCUCAUAGCGCUGAUUCUAUGAUUCUGUGUUAUUUGGAAAACAACCAAAACCACACCAAGACUGGACUGAACUCUUCUCUGACAUGAAUGGGCAGCACAGCUUGCAGAGAAUAACGCAGUCACAAAACCAUGGAGCUUCUUCUCUUUUGUGAGCUGAUUGUGCUCAAGAACACACACUAUACUAAUACACCAAGAACUGUCCUAACCAACCCUUCUUUGUCUCAGCUGUUACUUUUACCUUUCACAGUCAUGUCAAUGGAAUAUGUUUUAUAGUUCCAUUUCCUUGUUUUAAUCACCUGCUAGACAGCACAGAUGUCAGCUUGCAUUUCUUGCAUUGCAGAAGUACGAGAAUUGUUCCCCACUUACCUUCUCCAUGUUCACUGACUUAACAGUCUCUUUUUUGUGCCCCUGAUCAUCAUACAGGAUUCUUAGUUCUGAAGUUUCACCGUUAAGAUGGAUGGCCCAUAAUUACUGCAUACAGUGUUCAAGAGAAGGACAUAGGAGGAAAAAUAAAUAUCCAAAACCUAACAUGUAGAAAAGGACCAGUGCUACUCUAUAGCUUGACUUCCAUAGAGCAUGCACUGUUAUCUGAAAAGCGGAAAAUGUAUCCAGAUGGUAUAAUUCUUUUAAAAGAAUGUUUUCCUUUAUUUUAAAAAGAAUAUGACAGACUGUGUUUUAAAGAUUUGCAGCAUAAAUUCUUAAGAGUGGAAAAAAUGUUAUGUUAAUUUGGUCAUAGUUCUAAUGAUGAAGCUAAACAAACUUCUUUUCUCUCCAUCUUCUAUCUACCUGUCCAUGUUUAAUAAUGUAGUUCCUUGUUACCAAAGCACGAGAUCAGCUAUUGGUUAAUAACUUAAUGCUAACUCAAUUCUAAAGAGACUCCAUCCAUGUCAGAUAACCCACCUAGAAGAAAACUUUCCAGAAUAACUUUCUGAAGUAUUGGAGCCCUCGGUAAUUGUAAUUACAAAUGUAGUUCCUCUGACAGACCAAAGUAAACCCUGAACUCAAACAGGAAGGUUCUGACUGCUGUGUUGUAUGACAUCCAACUCUAGUUUGAAAUUUUUCUUGAUCUCCACCCCCCUCAAGAUUCAGAAUUUGGAUUAGUCGGUUUAGACACAGAGCUAGAAAAAUGCCACUUUUGUUAAUGAAAUUAAAAUAGCCCAUAAGCCGAAGAAGUAAGAAAGCAAAGAAUCUUCUUAUAAGGGGAUGGAAAUUGAUGCUAAAUUUACAUUUAUUUCAAUUUCUGAAGAAAAUAAAUACUGUCUUACCAUGUAUUAGGACUUUUGCUUAGUACGAAUUAUUUGUUGCUAUCUAAACAGGUUGAGUUGUGUGUUCUAGAAUACAAAAGUGACUUUGUUGUACAGUUUCAUCGGCCUGAUGAUUCUCUGCUGGAAAUCAGUGGAUGACUCAAAGCAAAGACAAAAGGCAGCCAAGUGUCAGACAGCAAAAGACAACACCGUUUUUCUUUCUUCAUGACAGCUGGGAUGAACAUUUGCAAGAUACGGAUCCAAAUGUUUCUGUACGUAAAACUGUUUGUCACCUGGUGAUCAGCUAUGCCUGUUUGUUACCAUGACCAAACAGUGAGUCCUCAUUUUGAUUCAUCAAGAACUUUGCCCUUUGUUGUGAACUAAAGUACUACUAAAACCUGACAGAGCAAGAACUAAGUUGUUCAAAAGGAUACUGAGUCAUGGUGCAGGAAACACUGAUUAUUAUGCCCAACUUGUUUUCACAUACAUGUGUGCAUGUGCAUAAUAGGUAGAUGUAAGCUCAUUGCUUGCCUUGCAAGGAACUGCUGUAUUUUGUAAGACACAUAGCAAGCAACUUCUCUUAUAUAGCAAGCAUAAUAAGUAAACUUCCCUUUGGUUUCAAUUUCUACAUCCAAAAUAUUUACAGGGACUAUUGAAAUCUGUCUAUCAACUCCUAGGCAAGGCCCUAGACAUUUUUCUAGCUGUUGCGUAAGAAACAACAAAUCUCAGUUUAUGUGGUGCAUGAGAGCUGGCACUGAUUUUCCUAGGAAGCACUGCAACUGUUCUGGUUUGGGCUGCGUUAGAGUUAAUUUUUCAUAGUGAGUGGUAUAUGUCCCUUAAAGAUAAUGCCUUUUCACAGUAUCUGUCUUAUUUUUAAAAGCAUUAAUUAAGAGGAAAGGCAGACAGCAGUAAAAGUAUGUCCACAAUUAACAUAGGAAAAUACUAAGCUCAUGUAAAAUGACUGUAGCGUGCUUUCUGUUGCUUUAUGAUGGAAAACAGAUCUGUACUAUCUGCACACAAAAAGGAGGAAAGCAUUAUUUAAAGUCUCUAAUAGCAUAUUAAGCUGGAGGAAAUUUUAAAUGAUUAGCCUAAUUAGUCUACUUCUUAACAAGGAUCAAGUAAGUUACUAAUGUAGAAAUGAGUAAGGCAGAAGGUUUGUACCUUCUAAGAAGCAUGGCUGCCCUUUAAGCUGCCAUCUGAAUCCACAGUCUCUCCUCUUAGAAUAAGGAAGUUAAGAUCUGGCACUGCUUCAGUUCAAUAAAAAACAAAAUAAUUUGGAUCUUGAUCCCCAAUUUAUCCUGUAGCUAUCUGAGAAAUUCUUUCCUUAUUAACAGAGAAAGAAGGAAGUAACUGUAGAAACUGCUUUAAGGCAGCUGCCUAGAAUUUUUCGUGGUAAUGAGCUCUGUUCAUAGACUUUAAAAAGUUUAAUUAAAUACAGAUGAAUGACAUUUCCUACUUUCGUAAAACUAUAGAUCGGCAUUUGUAAGAGCUCAUGAAGGCAUCCAGUCCUUGUCCUAAUUAGCCACGGUAGUUUAAAGCAAAAAAAAGUAGUGCUGGAGGGGGGGGAGGGGAUCUACUGUUGAUUUAUCAAUUAUGGUAUUUUCUAUUAUACCAAAAUGAUGCAGAAAGGCUUUGAAAUCCAUCAUCCCAAUGCCAGUUUCUGCAGUUAUGAAAAAAAUGCCUAUACUGACAACAAAGUCCAUUUCAUGCUCUUGUAUUCCACUUGACCUUCUAUCUUCUCAGUUUAAGGAUUGUGGCCUGAGGCCACCGCCGUGUCAGUCACCCACAUGUUAACUCUGGCAACAAACCAAGUAUUGAAUUCUUGCAGAAACGCCGAAAAGAUCGUUAGAAAAAAAGAAAAGCUUAUGUGUACAUACAUACUAUGGUAAGUCUACCUCAUGAGUCUCAUGCUGCACCUUUUGUGAGAUCUUCAGCAAAUAAAUGAAAUCUUAUGCAAAAGUUCACAUGUGGUUUAACGAAAUGUACAUAAAAACAAUUGUCUGCUUACUCACAAGGAGCACUUCUGGCUGCACUUUUGUCGAGAGAAUGAUUCUCAAUGGGCCCCAUGAAUCUCAGCCUGAGUGUUGGCUGAUACAAGAAGGUGAACAUGUAACACAAUGAGAUCUACUGCUGCACAGCUGCCUCCCAGCAGAGAAUGCAUUACAGUGCUCACGUGCGUUUGUAUGCUUGCAAACUCAGUCAGCUCAGUGGUAUUUGUUUUCUAUUAUCUAGAAGAGCAUUUGAGUGAGCAAACCCAGAAGGUGGGUUUGAGGACGGACCGGGCUGCAAGCUUCCAACCUGCGUAGUACAGAAGGACUCUCAGCAACUGGCCCAAGAGGAAACUGAAGAUGACUUGGUCCUGUGCUGUAGUAACAACACUUCACUGCUUUGGAAAAACAAUAAAAAGAAGAAAGAAAAAAGAAAGCAUUGAGAGUUCCAACACCAUAAAAAGAUAAGAAACAGAAUGUAUUUUGAGUGAAAGUGGAAAAGUCUUGUGUUACGCAACACAGUCAUGCAGAAAUCUCCAAAACAGGUGUGUUCAUAACAGCAUGGCACUGAGCAUGGAUUAAUUCAUUACAGCUGAGAUACUCCUAGGUUCUGAUUGGAAUAGUUUGUGGGUACAUCUUCUCACAGAUGUUCCAGCUCAGAUAUGUUACUGCCUCAGGCCUGCACUUGUACCAUUGGUUCUUGUGGUUUGGCUGAACUGGAGCAAGAGGAACAGAAAGACACAAGGAUUGUUUGCAAAGAAAAACAUAUAGAGGGGGAAAGUAGAAGCAGUUAAACAAAUAAAGAGGUAUUGAAGAGAAGGAAAAUCAAUGAGUCAUAAGUGAACAUGGACGAACUUUCAGAGGAAGUGAUGCAUGCAUGUAGAUGGAUAUUGGAUAUUACAUAGAGGGUAUUUCAAUGCUGGCAUUUGAUUUGAAAGAACAACCAGGCAGGUCCACUUUCUCUCCCUACUAAUUUACAUGAGAUUACUAACUCUCCUCUAAUUUGUAUUAGGACAUUUCAAAGCUCUGCGUGAUUUCCAAAGGCAAUUUGUGCCAAUGGGAAGGUAUACACACAGCAUAUGAAUGAGUACAAGGGAACUUGAUCAAAAUUCCAGUCUCAUGUAUUUUUUCUGAACACUUGCUGCACUCCUUUCAGAUCUGGAAAAUUGCAGGCUGACAUAUCUCUGGAUUUUUUAUGUUGUGCUUCUUUUCUCCUAAGAUCUACGCCCUACUGGUUCUGGGAAACUUGUGACCUCUGCAUUUUUAAUUAGAACUUGUAACAUUUUCCAUAGCAACAUAUUUUGAUGUCGCAAAUACAGAACCUGUCAAAUCAAACAAUUUCAAAGUGCAAAGCUACGGCCUUCUGGUCAAUUGAAGUCCAAGUACAUGAAAACACUGAGAUGCAAGGAAGACUGAAAAUUAUUUGUUGGUUAACUCAUAGCUUUGAUCUUCAUAAUUAAUAAAUCAGUACAGAUAUAAAAGAAUUACAUUGCAUGCUGGAGUGGUUUAGAUGAACUCAGUACUAAUUUCAUCGCACGUGAGAGCAGAUAGAAUCCAUCUGUCUGACUGGUGUGCCAGUACUAACAUGGUACAAAGGAGAGGAUCUAUUUCUAGGAAAUAGUCGAGAUGUGGAACAAACUUCACUCACAUGAUGAGCUGUGUGAGCAGGAAGUGAAGAAAACAGAAAUCCUCUGAAACGAGGCCUGAGCUCAGAUUUCAACAGACCCACAAUAUGAGCAGGAAUAAUAAUAAUGGGUUAAGAAAAGCAGUGUAACUUAGCACUUAAAUAUGUAUAUUAAAAAUAAGUCAUUUAUUUAUGAUACAUGCCCUGCAAGUGCCAAAUAAUACUUCUGUCAAGUCUGAAGAACAUAAACUGAGAAUUUUUGUCAUUCAGAUAUACUUAUCUUUCCUUUUCCUGCUUUAAGCUAAGACUAAUGGCCAAGGAAGUCAUAUUUUCCUGCCAUUACUAAGACUGCACAAGGUAAUUUGCCCCUCUGCAAGGACAUCCACGUGUAACUGUUAGUCACACCAGCAGCCACGAGAUAUGGAUAUGAUCAUCAAGUCUUAUUAAAACAAAUGCUGAAUACCAUGAACCUUUCAGGAGGAAAAGGCAAGUGUCAAUGUGGAAUGCGGUAAGAACUUUCUUGUUUCUGGUAGCAUUGGGUAUGUGACUGCUAUCCCUUUUCUUAUUCCAUCUAUUUCCACUUUUUACAAAAAAAAGCAAAAAACAAAAAAACAACCCAAAACAACCCAACCCACUGGAAUAUUAAGUUAGUAUUAAGUUAAAUGUGGUAUGUUUUAACCUUGCAUUGCAGAUAAGGAAUUCCUGGAGUUCCUCAAUCCUGCAUGAUUGCAGGCAGCUCACCUGAGUGUGCAUAAGGGAAAGGGGAACAAAAAUAUAAGAUUUUUCUGUUUCCUACCAAUUAUCUGAUAUUUCCCCUCUACUGUCUUUGGUGUAAAAGAAAACCAAAGUUCAGCCUUCUAGGAAAUGUAUUCUGGUAACCUGAAAGACUUUAUAAAUAGAGUGCACAAAUAGAUGACAGUAAUUCCAUGACAUAGAUUUUCUGCUUUAGAAUGAAAUGCUUCAUUUGAAAAAGCUCCUAAAAUUGUUAGAACAGUAAUUAAAAAAAAAAAAAAAAGUUUAAACUCCACAAUUGAAUACAAAAAACGUUGCUGUGAAGGUUUUGAUUUCCAAGAAAUCCAUUUUAAACUUAUUUACAAAGUUUACAUAGAAGAAUAGAUCUGCUGCUAUCUAUAACAUUCACUUCUGUAGUAGAACAGCUAAUUUGCGACUAUUGGAUGAGAGAUACAGAAAGAGUCACUUUAGUGAAAGAAAAAAAAAACAUAUUAUUUUAAGGACAAAUAGUAAAAAAUGAUUGUUUUGGAGUUUAGAGAAACAGAGUUUGAAGGAUUUUGCCCUCCAAUGCAGACUGCUCAUGCUUAUGCUGUAGCAAAGGAGGAGCAUCUUGACUACAAGAGUCUUAGUGGAAGAAAACUGGCAAUGCCUUUAUAAAAAUGUAUUUAAUUUCUGUGUUUGCAGUUUUCCCAGCUUCAUCCCUAGGUCCUGGCCUCAAGGGCCCUAGAGAUGUCACAGUUUUAAACAGUCUUAUAAAUCUAGGAGGGGAAAUGAGCUGUCUCUCAUCUUAAACAGAGAGCCUUGGAGAAUGUCUAUGGGGCUUUACCAAUGGAGCUGCCGAAAACAAAGCUAUGAUUCAGGGGUCUCUGACCUUUCCCAGCCCUCCUCCACCAGUGUCAGCCUGCAGCCUGCUCUUUAAAAGUUUCUGCUCACCCAGGGAGCAAAAUUAGAAAUCUUCUCCAGGGACAAUUUUUCUUCCAUCAAGCCACUCAUCAGCCCACUGAGGCAUGGAAACCAAAAAGGAAAAAGUGAGUUAAAAGAAUGUAUGUCUCUUGGUAAGGAUUUCCCACAGCAGAGUGUAAGUGUCCAGACUACCUCAUCAGCAGAGUCCCAGCCUUUACUAUACGUCUUGGUAUUCAGUCUGUACUGUAGUGGUAUAGAAAAGUGCCAAGCACUGUGCAGGUGAUGCAUGCAUCAAUACAGCAGAUGUGGAGGUGUGUUUGAACUGCUUAACAUCAGCACUUACCAAAUGUUGAAGACACUCUAGCCCCUACGACAAAUAAAAGCAUUCAUUCAGAUGUGCAUGGCAUUUCAGGAAUGGAAUCAUUAUUAUCUUCUCCGAAAAUGUUUUGUCUUAUGUUUAAUAUAAUAUAAUAUAUAUUGCUUAUUGGAAACAAAUCCUUGUUAGUCUCGUUGUUUGUUUGUUUCCUAAUUGUGGAUUACCACAGAACAGGGUACAGUUCAUAAAUACCUCAAAUAUCUGAAAGGUGAUUGCAGCAGAGCAGGGCUGCUAUCUUCUCACUGGUGGCAGGAUGAGGAGAAAUGGCCUCAGGCUGCACCAGGGGAGGUUUAGGUCGGAUAUCAGGAAGAAUUUCUUUACAGAAAGGGUUGUUAAGCUCUGGAAUGGGCUCCCCAGGGAGGUGUUGAGUCACCAUCCCUGGAUGUGUUUAAAAUCCAUCUGGAUGUGGUGCUCAGGGACAUGAUUUAGUGGAGGGUUGUUAGAGUUUGGGUAGUAUGGUUGGGUCUUGAUUGGACUCAAUGAUCUUUAAGGUCUUUUCCAAGCAAAUUCUAUGAUUUCCGGAGCAAUUCUAUGAUUCUGUCAUUUAAUAUGGAGAAAAUUCAAGUAAACUAAAAAUCAGAUUUAAAAGAUAACCUGGUGCAAUGUACUUUUAUUUAUUAAUUUGUUUAUUUUUAUUCCCCAGGCCUUUUUAAAGUUAACCCUAGGAAACACCCCACGUUGGCGACUCCUUGUAAUUCAUGUCAAUGUUCUUUCAGCAGCACAGUUGCUGCUUCCACGCCGUGAGCAUCUCCUGUAUUUGCUUUAGAACUGCUUCCUGCUGAUGCGUUAAGCACAGGAAGUGAAAGGUUGGUCCCAAAAUGUCUUCUGAGUGCAAAGGAGAAGCCUGCUGGGGCUGGGGCUGCAUGCAAGUCACAAUACUUUUCCUUGAAUAAUCACCUGAAGCACAGCUCUUAGAAACCAUUGUACUGCAGCAAGUAGCUGCUAUUUUUCUGCACCCUUUUUUUUCUGUGCUUUCAGUGGCAGUUGUAGGUAUCUCACAUGGCCAGCUGCUCUCUGUUCAC